rnacentral:tRNA from 1 species
GCCCGGAUGGUGGAAUUGGUAGACACAAGGGACUUAAAAUCCCUCACGCACAGCGUAUGUCGGUUCGAGUCCGACUCCGGGUA